GUAUUUCACUCCUCUGUGCUCUCUAUACUUCUGUCAUCACACUUCAACUUUCAUCUACCUCUACUUGUAUGGGUAUAUAGUUUAACAUUUUUCUUCUCUAUAGCUUGCUAGUAUGAUCUAUGGGUAUUAGUUGAUGUCAUUUAUAUAUCUCAUCAAUGUUAUCGUUGUUUCACUUUGAUUACUUUAUAACUAACUAGCAUUAUUUCCUUAUUUACACACUCACAUGCAUCACAUAUAGUAGGUAUAAAGGGACCACAUACGAAUUUCCUGAAGACGACGUAGGUGUGGUUGUGAUUUUUCUUGGCCGAAGCCGAAUGCAGCUGGUUUAAUUGAUUUGUUUAUUCUGUGAGGAUGGAUGGAUAUGACCACACACAUGUUCAUGUCCCCAAUAGUAUUAUUCUAGUAAAACGGUCUAAAGUUUUCUCUUGUACCCACUUAAUAGUGUGAACAAUGAUUCCCCCAACACAUUCUGGGAAUGUUAAUGUAAUAAAUUGAAUUCCAUUA